rnacentral:rRNA from 1 species
UACGUAGGUGGCAAGCGUUGUCCGGAUUUACUGGGCGUAAAGGGAGCGUAGGCGGAUUUUUAAGUGAGAUGUGAAAUACCCGGGCUUAACUUGGGUGCUGCAUUUCAAACUGGAAGUCUAGAGUGCAGGAUAGGAGAAGGGAAUUCCUAGUGUAGCGGUGAAAUGCGUAGAGAUAUGGAGGAACACCAGUGGCGAAGGCGGCUUCCUGGUCUGUAACUGACACUGAGGCGCGAAAGCGUGGGGAGCAAACAGGAUUAGAUACCUCUGUAGU